AGAACGAACGCUGGCGGCAUGCCUAAUACAUGCAAGUCGAACGAACACUUCGGUGUUAGUGGCGCACGGGGUGCGUAACGCGUGGGAAUCUGCCCUUGGGUUCGGAAUAACAGUUGGAAACGACUGCUAAUACCGGAUGAUGACGAAAGUCCAAAGAUUUAUCGCCCAGGGAUGAGCCCGCGUAGGAUUAGCUAGUUGGUGGGGUAAAGCCCACAAGGCGACGAUCUGUAGCUGGUCUGAGAGGACGACCAGCCACACUGGAACUGAGACACGGUCCAGACUCCUACGGGAGGCAGCAGUGGGGAAUUUUGGACAAUGGGCGCAAGCCUGAUCCAGCAAUGCCGCGUGCAGGAAGAAGGCCUUCGGGUUGUAAACGUGCUUUGUACGGAACGAAACGGUCUGGGUUAAUACCGUCGGACUAAUGACGGUACCGUAAGAAUAAGCACCGGCUAGCUACGUGCCAGCAGCCGCGGUAACU
rnacentral:rRNA from 1 species